GGCGAGUUGUACCGUGACAGAAAUGAGCUCGGUGCUGUGGUACAGUCCUCACCGGAGAGUCCGAACGUUACCGCUAACAUAGAACGUGACUGAAUUUUACAGCUGCUGGUUUUCUGUCACAGUUACGUCAGAAACUAUGAAUGCCACUGCUAACCCCAGGGUGCAGGCACCAACAGUAAAAAGACUAAAGGAGGCAGAGCACAUAUCUGACAAGUCACACUGAGCAAGAGCUUGGCUGUCAGCAUGCACAUCAGCGUUCAGAGACUACAAGGCUUCCUGCAUCACAUUUAAAGAUUGGAUUCACCUGAAAGCCAAAAAGAUGACUCUGUAGCCAAAAGGCUACUACUUCCAAAGUAAUCCUUAACAGUACAGAUAUUAUAUAAAAAACUGUGUACACUGGCUUCUGGAGAAUAUCUUCUUGAUCAAUACUUUUACAGGCUGCAUAGAGAUGGAAAACUGCUCCUGGAACUAACACGGCCCCAAUCAAUUUACUCUCUCAGGACAAAAAAGCAAAACAAAGCAUAGUACAUGUGGUCAGCUCUGUGAUGCCCAACAAACUCUGUCAGCAGAAACCUCAAACCAAUUAUAAGCUGUAAGCCUACAAAAGCAGAAGUUUAAGUAAUCCUCUGCAUUAUAUCAGCAAUUCUUAGACAG